rnacentral:rRNA from 1 species
UACAGAGGUGGCAAGCGUUGUUCGGAAUUACUGGGCGUAAAGCGCACGUAGGCGGAUUUGUUAGUCAGGGGUGAAAUCCCGGGGCUCAACCUCGGAACUGCCUUUGAUACUGCAAGUCUCGAGUCCGAUAGAGGUGGGUGGAAUUCCUAGUGUAGAGGUGAAAUUCGUAGAUAUUAGGAAGAACACCGGUGGCGAAGGCGGCCCACUGGAUCGGUACUGACGCUGAGGUGCGAAAGCGUGGGGAGCAAACAGG